UUCCCUCUUGUCGCCCAGGCUGGAGUGCAAUGGUGUGAUCUUGGCUCACUGCAACCUCUGCCUCCUGGGUUCAAGUGAUUCUCCUGUCUCAGCCUCCCGAGUAGCUGGGAUCACAGGCGUGUGCUACCACGCCCAGCUAAUUUUUUUGUAUUGUAAGUAGAGUCGGGGUUUCUCCAUGUUGGUCAGGCUGGUCUCGAACUCCCGACCUCAGGUGAUCUGCCUGCCUCGGCCUCCCAAAGUGCUGGGAUUACAGGUGUGAGCCACUGUGCCCAGCCUCCUGAAUUACCUCUCCUUUAUAUGGCUCAGCCUCGAUGACCAGAAAUUAACCAUCACCUCUGUCUUGGGGCCCACUUAAGGUUUGCUGGUCUUCCUGUGGACAAACGUGGUUUACUUGUCUUUAUGUGCCACACUGUGGAAGAACAGUUUACUUAAGACCAUUAGCUUGAGGACUGAAACCACCGAAACCCACAUAAGCUUGCUUAUGUCUGCAUUAUAUGACUACUACCAUGUGGUCUUCAUAACAUGACUUUACUAUUCCACUGUCUUUACCAAUCUAUUUGUCUGUUCUCACAUUGCUAUAAAGAAAUGCCUGAGAUGGGGCAACUUAUAAAGAAAAGAAGUUUAAUUGGUUCACGGUUCCACAGGCUGUACAGGAAGCAUAGUGGCUUCUGCUUCUGGGGAGGCCUCAGGAAACUUACAAUCAUGAUGGAAGGUGAAGGAGAAGCAGGCACGUCUUACAUGGCUGGACCAGGAGGAUGUGGUGGGGGAGCUGCCAAACACUUUCAAACAACCAGAUCUCGUGAGAAUUCACUCACCAUCAUGAGAACAGCAUGGAGGGGAAGGUGCUAAGCCAUUCAUGAAGGAUCCGCUCCCAUGAUCCAAUCACCUCCCAUUGGGACCCACUUCCAACAUUGGGGAUUAUGGUUCGACAUGAGAUUUGGGCGGGGAGACAGAUCCAAACUGUAUCAAUCAACAUGAUUUCACUGUGGCAGGAAACACUUGCCCAGAAAGCUAAAGAUUGCAAGUAACUUUAGUGUUUGUUUUAGGAAUUUCCCCUGAACUUACUUAAAACUGCCUAACUUUGGUAGAUUGCAUCAAAUGACUGUUAACUCACCUUGCUAUCUCCAUGAUCUUGGAUUAUAUCAUGAUCCUAUUCAAUCUUAGACUUCCCCACACUGAAAGACCUUCCUUAAACCAGACUCUUAAACAUCAUAAACACUCUGAAUUUAUCUGUCCCACUCAGACAUUGUUAUGACCACCAGGGUAGUGCUUUCUCUUACUGCCAUGAGCUUUGCUUUAUCAACAUGUUGCCUUGGUGGUAUUUUAUGGGAGCCAGCAUUCGAUAAGCUGCAAUUUUCUUUUCCACACUAUGUAGUUGCUCCAAUCCUAUUUUAUCCAAUAUUCAUCCAUCCAUCCAGCCAGCCAGCCACUGAUUUAUUUAUUCAUUCAACAUAUAUUUAUUGAGUGCCUACUAUAUGUUCAGCACCCUUAGACCCUGGUUUAGUGAUGAUGGAUGAUGUUACAGCCCUUGUCUUUACAGCGUUCACCCUCUCCUUCAUCAUUACGUCACUUUCCUGCUGCUAGGUGAAGGGGCCCAGAAUAUGCCACUUUGGUUUAAGGAUUAUUUUGAGCUGAAGGCAAUUGGGAAAAUAUAGCCACAAGAAAAGCUCUCUGUCCUUCUUCUUUCUGCCUAAAAGCAGGCCACGUUUCCCUUUGUAAAGGUAACAUAAAUUUCCACUUGUAAAGGAAUUGUGAAGUGGUGCCUCUCUCCAAUACCAGAAGAGAAUAACUGUUAAUCACUGGAGAUGACUUAUCACUGGAGACAGUACCAAGGGAACAUGGAGACUAAGAAGUACUUUCUCCUUGAAUUGAUUUGUAAGUGGAACUUUCCAACAGCAAAACAGCUGGAUCUUUGUGCUUUUAAAAUCUGGACUCUGGACUUGAUCUUCAGAAGAACAGGAAGCAAGGUGUUUGCACUGAGUUUGACAUGCACAAUAGUGAUUAAUUGACUUGUCAGUGCUGUGCUUUCUUGCCUCUAAGGUCCUGCCUCUUGGUUCUUUUGCCCUGGUGUUAAUCCCAUGCAGCUGGUGCAGAAACAGAACCAAGAGCUUGGAAGUCACAAGGUGGCCCCACCCCAACUAGGACUGUUCUUUUGAAGCCCAGUGCCCAGUUGGUGAAAUGACCCACCAGCAUUGCACAGGAGAGCCCCAGAGAGAUAUGUCCAGGAUAUACGAUCAGUCUGGUGUUCUGAGCCUUAAGGUAUGGUUGCAGCGAUGACGCAUUGCAGAACCAAAGGAAUUUGUCCCUAGGAUAGACCAUCCAAAGGCCGAUCAACAGCAACAGAAAACAAGCUUUCAAACCAACAAGACAAGACAUGAUUGCAGUGCCUUCAUAACGACAUUGCUUUAUUGAUGAAAUGUUCAGCAUUUGGCUUGAUAACUUGUGAAUUCCAAGAUCAGAAGACCCGCCGGAAUUGAAUUACCAGUGCUCCAAUCUUUCCAAAUUCCAUAAUAAUUUUUUAAAAAGUUAAUUAAUUAAUUACUUUUUUGAGACAGGGUCUCGCUCUGUUGCUCAGGUCGGAGUACAGUGGCACAGUCUCAGCUCCGCCUCCUGGGUUCAAGGGAUUCUCCUGCCUCAGCCUCCCGAGUAGUUGUGAUUACAGGUGUGCGCCACCAUGCCUUGCUAGUGGAAAUGGGGUUUCACCGUGUUGGCCAGGCUGGUCUUGAACUCCUGACCUCAAGUCAUUCGCCCGCAUUGGCCUCCUGAAGUGCUGAGAUUACAGGUGUGAGCCACCGAGCCAGUCUCAUAGUAAUAAUUAUAAUAAUAUUAUUAUCCUCUUUUUCCACAUCACUGUGUCAUAUUGUAGCACAGAAAACUAAAGUUGGACCAAUGACCAUUGGCUACAAGGAGCCCACUGGGAUUCUGAUGGUUAUUGACUGCAUUUGUAUGUCCCCCACAGAUUCACAUGUUGAAAUCCUAACCCCCAGGGAGAUGAUAUUAGAAGGUAGGGCCUUUGGGAGGUGAUUUGGUCAUGAGGGUGGGGCCCUUAUGAGGGGAUUAGUGCCCUUAUAAAAGAGACAGGAAAGGCUGGGUGAGGUGGCUCACACCUGUAAUCCCAGCACUUUGGGAGGCCAAAGCGGUGGAUCACUUGAGGUCGGGAGUUCAAGACCAGUCUGGCCAACAUGGCAAAACCGUGUCUCUACUAAAAACACAAAAGUUAGCCAGGCAUGGUGGUGCAUGCCUGUAGUCCCAGCUACUUGGGAGGCUGAGGCAGGAGAAUUGCUUGAGCGUGGAAGGCAGAGGUUGCAGUGAGCUGAGAUUGCACCACUGUGCUCCAGCCUGGGUGACAGAGUGAGUGAGACUCUGGGCCUAAAAAAAAAAAAAAAAAAAAAGGAAAGAGCUUGCUUCCUCUCUCUGCUCUCCACCAUGUAAGGUCACAGUGAGAAGGCAGGUGUCUGUGAACCAGGAACAGGGCCUUUGCCUGGAACCCGAUCAUGUUGGCACCCUGAUCUCAGACUUCCAGUCUCCAGAACUAUGAGAAAUAAAUGUUCAUUGUUUAAGCCCCCCAGCCUAUGGUAAUUUGUUACAGCAACCUGGACUGACAAAAACAAAGAUCAUCCA